GAUGAACGCUGGCGGCGUGCCUAAUACAUGCAAGUCGAGCGACCACAUGAGAAGCUUGCUCCUCUGACGUUAGCGGCGGACGGGUGAGUAACACGUGGAUAACCUACCUAUAAGUCUGGGAUAACUUCGGGAAACAAGAGAUACUACUGGCUAAUAUAUUGUACCGCAUGGUUCAAUAGUGAUACACGGCUUUGCUGUUACUUUUAGAUGGAUUCGGGUCGCCUUGGUUACUUGGUAAGGUAACGGCCUACCAAGGGAACGAUGCGUAUCCGACCUGAUAGGGUGAACCGGCACACUGGAACUGAGACACGGUCCAGACUCCUACGGGAGGCAGCAAGAGGGAAUCUUCCGCAAUGGGCGAAAGCCUGACGGAGCAACGCCGCGUGAGUGAAGAAGGUCUUCGGAUCGUAAAACUCUUUUAUUAGGGAAGAACAAAUGUGUAAUUAACUAUGCACGUCUUGACGGUACCUAAUCAGAAAGCCACGGCUAACUACGUG
rnacentral:rRNA from 1 species